rnacentral:rRNA from 1 species
UGGGGAAUAUUGGACAAUGGGGGCAACCCUGAUCCAGCAAUUCUGUGUGCACGAAGAAGGUUUUCGGAUCGUAAAGUGCUUUCAGCAGGGAGGAAGGAAGUGACUGUACCUGCAGAAGAAGCGACGGCUAAAUACGUGCCAGCAGCCGCGGUAAUACGUAGGUCCCGAGCGUUAUCCGGAUUUAUUGGGCGUAAAGCGAGCGCAGGCGGUUAGAUAAGUCUGAAGUUAAAGGCUGUGGCUUAACCAUAGUACGCUUUGGAAACUGUUUAACUUGAGUGCAGAAGGGGAGAGUGGAAUUCCAUGUGUAGCGGUGAAAUGCGUAGAUAUAUGGAGGAACACCGGUGGCGAAAGCGGCUCUCUGGUCUGUAACUGACGCUGAGGCUCGAAAGCGUGGGGAGCAAACAGGAUUAGAUACCCUGGUAGUCCACGCCGUAAACGAUGGACACUAGGUGUGGGGGGAAUAUUUCUUCCGUGCCGCAGCUAACGCAUUAAGUGUCCCGCCUGGGGAGUACGGCCGCAAGGCUA